AUUGAACGCUGGCGGCGGGCCUAACACAUGCAAGUCGAGCGGAUGACGGGAGCUUGCUCCUUGAUUCAGCGGCGGACGGGUGAGUAAUACCUAGGAAUCUGCCUGAUAGUGGGGGACAACGUUUCGAAAGGAACGCUAAUACCGCAUACGUCCUACGGGAGAAAGCAGGGGACCUUCGGGCCUUGCGCUAUCAGAUGAGCCUAGGUCGGAUUAGCUAGUUGGUGAGGUAAUGGCUCCCCAAGGCGACGAUCCGUAGCUGGUGUGAGAGGAUGGUCAGGCACACUGGAACUGAGACACGGUCCAGACUCCUACGGGAGGCAGCAGUGGGGGAUAUUGGACAAUGGGCGCAAGCCUGAUCCAGCCAUGGCGCGUGUGGGGAGAAGGGCUUCGGAUUGUAAAGCACUUUGAGUUGGGAGGGAGGGCAGUAAGCUAAUACCUUGCUGUUUUGACGUUACCGACAGAAUAAGCACCGGCUAACUCUGUGCCAGCAGCCGCAGUAAUAC
rnacentral:rRNA from 1 species